CCCCGCAGGGCUCCGGGCGGCCGUGACCCUGCUGGAGUGCGGGGGGGACCUCCAGCCCCCCGGGGGGUCCCUGCGCCUCCUCUGCCGAGGGGCUGGGUUCGAUUUCGGGAGUUUUGCCAUGAGCUGGAUCCGCCAGAGACCCGGGCAGGGGCUGGAGUGGCUCGCAGGGAUCUACAGCAGUGGCAGCACCUACUACGCGCCGUCGGUCAAGGGCCGGUUCACGAUCUCCAGGGACAACGGGCAGAGCUCGGUGACGCUGACCAUGACCGACCUCCGGGACGAGGAUUCCGGCGUCUAUUUCUGUGCCAAGCGUGCUGGUGCUGCUGGUGAUGAUGCUGGUGCUCAUGGCCCCACUUCAGGACUUGUAGCCCCAAAUUUGAGUUCCUGACCCCUCACCUCCGCC